rnacentral:rRNA from 1 species
UACGUAGGGGGCUAGCGUUGUCCGGAAUCAUUGGGCGUAAAGAGCGUGUAGGCGGUCCGGUAAGUCCGCUGUGACAGUCGGGGGCUCAACCCUCGAAUGCCGGUGGAUACUGUCGGGCUAGAGUGCGGAAGAGGCGAGUGGAAUUCCUGGUGUAGCGGUGAAAUGCGCAGAUAUCAGGAGGAACACCUAUUGCGAAGGCAGCUCGCUGGGACGUAACUGACGCUGAGACGCGAAAGCGUGGGGAGCAAACAGG